UAAAACCAAAAUAUAUAUAUAAUUCUGCCUUGUGUCUCUCUGAAAUCAUUACAGAGUUUUAGAGAUUGAUGGAUUAAGUGAAUGAGAUUGUAAUGAAAACACUGAUGAUGAUAAUGUUGUAUGUGUUUGUGUACUUUAUGUACAGAAGGAGGUGUCACUCUUUUCUUCCUGAAGGUUCCCUGUUGUGUCCAUAAACGAGCCUCCCCUGGUAGUCGCACCCCUAGUCCAAACAGUAGUCCCUGUUAUCUGGCGCCCCUGUGUUGCCUGGUACUGCAGGACCUUGGAGGACCCUCCACCCUCUCUGAACAGAGCAGCUCCCCAGCGUAGAGGCUCCAUUGGCUGGCUUAUCUCCUCGUCUGUUGGUCCCAAAAGCAUACAUAAAGGAGAGAGAGGCCUAACAUGACUUGUCCUGAUCCACAUCCCCAUCUAUUCACAAAGUGGUCCAUGAGCCUGCGAUGCGAAGCAAAGCGACAAUGGGAUCAGUCCGCAUUUGCAUUAUGAGCACACAAUGCAUGACACAAGCUUGCCCAGAGAGAUAUUUCUGCUCAGAAAAUAUCUGGCUUCAGAAGGAUCUGUCUGCGGUGCUCAGCGUCACUCCACUGACUCUGUCUCUUGCUUAUUAACAAACCAGCCUGUCACUUUAUAAACCCUGUUUCAGCUUUCCCUCAGCCGUACACACAUACACAUCAUGAAAUACACUUAGACAAUGGAAAACACACAAAUUGUAGUAAUGCAUAUUAGAAAUUUUGGGGAAUUCUACACAAAAA